rnacentral:rRNA from 1 species
ACGCACGCUGGCGGCGUGCUUAACCCAUGCAAGUCGAACGGAAAGGCCCCUUUGGGGGUACUCGAGUGGCGAACGGGUGAGUAACACGUGAGUAACCUGCCCUUGACUUCGGGAUAACUUCAGGAAACUGGGGCUAAUACCGGAUAGGAAUCCUUGCUGCAUGGUGGGGGUUGGAAAGCUUCGGCGGUUUUGGAUGGACUCGCGGCUUAUCAGCUUGUUGGUGGGGUAGUGGCUUACCAAGGCUUUGACGGGUAGCCGGCCUGAGAGGGCGACCGGCCACAUUGGGACUGAGAUACGGCCCAGACUCCUACGGGAGGCAGCAGUGGGGAAUAUUGCACAAUGGGCGGAAGCCUGAUGCAGCAACGCCGCGUGCGGGAUGACGGCCUUCGGGUUGUAAACCGCUUUCAGCAGGGGCGAAGCUUGUGGUGACGGUACCUGCAGAAGAAGCACCGGCUAACUACGUG